AAAGGCGUAAUGAAAGUGAAGGCUCGCCUAGCGCGGGCCGAGGGAGGAUGGGUGUCCCCGAGGGGACGCCUCGCACUCCCAGGGCGUCUCGUUCUCAUUGCGAGAAGAGGCGCACCAUGAGCGUACACGCUGGGACCCGAAAGAUGGUGAACUAUGCCUGGUCAGGACGAAGUCAGGGGAAACCCUGAUGGAGGUCCGUAGCGAUUCUGACGUGCAAAUCGAUCGUCGGAACUGGGUAUAGGGGCGAAAGACUAAUCGAACCAUCUAGUAGCUGGUUCCCUCCGAAGUUUCCCUCAGGAUAGCUGGCGCUCGCUUCUCGCGAGUCUCAUUCGGUAAAGCGAAUGAUUAGAGGCAUUGGGGUCGAAACGGCCUCAACCUAUUCUCAAACUUUAAAUGGGUGAGAUCUCCGGCUUGCUUGAACUGUGAAGCCGCGAGAUAUCGGAUCAGAGUGCCAAGUGGGCCACUUUUGGUAAGCAGAACUGGCGCUGUGGGAUGAACCAAACGCUGAGUUAAAGCGCCUAAAUCGACGCUUAUGGGA
rnacentral:rRNA from 1 species